rnacentral:rRNA from 1 species
CCUACGGGGGGCUGCAGUGGGGAAUAUUGGACAAUGGGCGAAAGCCUGAUCCAGCCAUGCCGCGUGUGUGAAGAAGGCCUUCGGGUUGUAAAGCACUUUCAGUGGGGAAGAAAGCCUUGGGGCUAAUACCCUCGAGGAAGGACAUCACCCACAGAAGAAGCACCGGCUAACUCCGUGCCAGCAGCCGCGGUAAUACGGAGGGUGCGAGCGUUAAUCGGAAUUACUGGGCGUAAAGCGCGCGUAGGCGGUCUGAUAAGCCGGUUGUGAAAGCCCCGGGCUCAAACUGGGAACGGCAUCCGGAACUGUCAGGCUAGAGUGCAGGAGAGGAAGGUAGAAUUCCCGGUGUAGCGGUGAAAUGCGUAGAGAUCGGGAGGAAUACCAGUGGCGAAGGCGGCCUUCUGGACUGACACUGACGCUGAGGUGCGAAAGCGUGGGUAGCAAACAGGAUUAGAUACCCCUGUAGUC